rnacentral:rRNA from 1 species
CCUUUGUACACACCGCCCGUCGCUACUACCGAUUGAAUGGCUUAGUGAGACCUCCGGAUUGGCAUUAAGAAGCCGGCAACGGCAUCUUUUGGCUGAGAAGUUGGUCAAACUUGGUCAUUUAGAGG